rnacentral:lncRNA from 1 species
UAAAUGAAGAAAAUAUCUCAUAAAUGCCAAUUUUUCUGAUAUAUUAAUGUGACUUUAUACUCAAUGAUCUCAUGGUGGAAUAUGCAAAUGAGUGUGAUUAUGGAAGUAGUCAAUACCAAAGAUCCAACAAUGUCAAGAGCUACACAUAUGUGAGCUCACAUUCAUCCAUGAAUUUACCAAGACUUCUAAAUGAAUUACCGUGACCAUAUUUUUCUAAAAAGAAAAGGUUCUUGAUUCUCUUAGUCAUCUAAGUAAAAAAAACAGCGUUUGUGUUCCUAGCCAUGCAAAUAAAUUUGGGAUUUUAAGUAGCUAGUGAAGCUUCUUUAAAUCAUAAAUCAAGUCAAAAUGUUAAAAUUUUUCACUUCCACCGAUCUCUGAUAUGUGGGACCUUGAGAAAACAUUCGCGUGCAAAAAAUGUUUGACGCACGGGUGCACCUUGUGUACUGAUGCACGUGUGACUGUGUGCGCGUGUGUGUGUGUGCGCGUGUGCGUGAGAGAGAGAGAGAGAGAGAGAAGGGGAGAAGGGGAGCGGGGGGAGGUGUUAUAGUACUAGCAGCCUUGGGAGGGGGGGAGGGGAGUGGUGAUGUUUUAGUUACUUACAGGCUGCCUCACGUUCCCUGAUCGACUGCCGAAGUACGGGGAGCUCAGAGCCUACAUGAAAGAAUGGGAUGGGUGAGUGCCUCUGAGACAGCAUUAAUCUCCCAAAGCACAUGACAAUACUAGACACCAAUAACUAAAAGAUGCUACAUAAAACAACACUGUUGGUCUGCACCACAGAGAGAGAGAGAGAGAGAGAGAGAGAGAGAGAGAGAGAGAGAG